AGGUCGGACAGCCGCGGACACAUGCCGAAAGGCAGUGGAUGAGGAAAGUCCGGGCUCCACAGGGCAAGGAUAACGGGUAACGCCCGCCGAGGGUGACCUCAGGACAAGUGCAACAGAGAGAUACAGCCGGCGUUUUGCCGGUGAUGGUGAAAAGGUGCGGUAAGAGCGCACCCGGCCCAUGGUAACAUGGGUUUUACGCUGUAAACUCUAUCCCGGAGCAACGCCGUGGAGGGACACAAGGCCGGCCCGGCCGUCCCAAGGAGGCGGCUUGACCCUGCGGGCAACCGCAAGGCUAGAUAGAUGGCUGUCAAGACAGAACCCGGCUUAUAGACCUG
rnacentral:RNase_P_RNA from 1 species